GAUGAACGCUAGCGAUAGGCUUAACACAUGCAAGUCGAGCGAGGGAGUCUCUUCGGAGAUGAACUAGCGGCGGACGGGUGAGUAACACGUGGGCAACCUGCCUUACAGAGGGGGAUAGCCUUCCGAAAGGAAGAUUAAUACCGCAUAUUAUGAGUUUUCUGCAUGGGGAAUUCAUGAAAGGAGCAAUCCGCUGUAAGAUGGGCCCGCGGCGCAUUAGCUAGUUGGUGAGGUAAGGGCUCACCAAGGCGACGAUGCGUAGCCGACCUGAGAGGGUGAUCGGCCACAUUGGAACUGAGACACGGUCCAA
rnacentral:rRNA from 1 species